GUAAAUAUAGUUUAAACAAAAUAUCAAGCUGUGAACCUGAUAAUAGAGACUCAAAAAUCUCUUAUUUACC
rnacentral:tRNA from 1 species